rnacentral:rRNA from 1 species
GGCGAAUGAACAGGGAUGAGCUCAGGCUGGAAACCGAUACAUCUGUGUCGGGCUGUAGCCUGCAGGCAUAGCGCUAUCGGCGGCUCGAGCGCAAGCCUCUUGGAAUAGAGCGUGUGCCCGGGUGAGAAUCCUGCAUUUCGCUCGAUGUCCGCUGUCCACAGUGCUUGUUCUGAGAGUCACGCUCCUCGGAAUUGGAGCGUAAAUCAGGUGGUAAGUUUCAUCCAAAGCUAAAUAGAAGCUCGAGACCAAUAGCAAACAAGUACCAUGAGGGAAAGAUGAAAAGGACUUUGGAAAGAGAGUUAAAAGUGUUUGAAAUUGCUGAGAGCGAAGCGAACGGAGCCACAUGUCGUGCUGAGAUUGCUGUGGGUCUUUGUGAGCCUUGAGCAUGUAAGCGCAAGCUGACUGCUUAUGCAUGAGCAUUUGUCCGCAGUGUUUCUCAGCAUGCGAGUCAUUAGCCACAUUUGUUUGAGGAUGGCCUUCAGCUCACAUGGUACACUUGUUAGUGUGCCUCUGUGCGGUGUGGGACUCAGACAGGUGUGGCUUGUUGACCCAGUGGUUUUUUUCGACCCGUCUUGAAACACGGACCAAGGA